GACAGAAAGACCCUAUGAAGCUUUACUGUAUCCUGGAAUUGAAUUUGGGUUUAUUUUGCGCAGUAUAGGUGGGAGACUAAGACUUUACAUUUGCGGAUGUGAAUGAGUCAUCAGUGAGAUACCACUCUAAUUAAACUAGAAUUCUAAUCUUGAAGCCGUCACCCGGCCAAGAGACAUUUUCAGGUGGGCAGUUUGACUGGGGCGGUCGCCUCCCAAAAGGUAACGGAGGCGUGCAAAGGUUUUCUCAGGCUGGUCGGAAAUCAGUCGUAGAGUGUAAAGGCAUAAGAAAGCUUGACUGCGAGAUUUACAAAUCGAGCAGAGACGAAAGUCGGCCUUAGUGAUCCGACAGUUCUGAGUGGAAAGGCUGUCGCUCAACGGAUAAAAGUUACUCUAGGGAUAACAGGCUGA
rnacentral:rRNA from 1 species